GGAGGAAGCUGGACUUACCGGGACAGAAUGAGAAGUAUCGGGCCAUAUGUUCCUGCCUCCAGAUUUCUGCCUCCAGUUCCAAUUUGACUUCUCUCAGUGGACUGUGAACCAGAAUUUCCUUCAAUUCAGAUUCAGAAAGAAGCACAUCACUGGAUCUUCUGAAUUUCCGUAUCAUCAACUGUAGUUUUGGAAUUUGUCAACUUCCAGAAUCAA